GAUGAACGCUGGCGGCGUGCUUAACACAUGCAAGUCGAACGGAAAGGCCCAAGCUUGCUUGGGUACUCGAGUGGCGAACGGGUGAGUAACACGUGGGUGAUCUGCCCUGCACUUCGGGAUAAGCCUGGGAAACUGGGUCUAAUACCGGAUAGGACCACAUUUUGGAUGGUGUGGUGGAAAGUUUUUCGGUGUGGGAUGAGCUCGCGGCCUAUCAGCUUGUUGGUGGGGUAAUGGCCUACCAAGGCGUCGACGGGUAGCCGGCCUGAGAGGGUGUACGGCCACAUUGGGACUGAGAUACGGCCCAGACUCCUACGGGAGGCAGCAGUGGGGAAUAUUGCACAAUGGGCGCAAGCCUGAUGCAGCGACGCCGCGUGGGGGAUGACGGCCUUCGGGUUGUAAACUCCUUUCGCUAGGGACGAAGCGUUAUGUGACGGUACCUGGAGAAGAAGCACCGGCUAACUACGUA
rnacentral:rRNA from 1 species